rnacentral:rRNA from 1 species
GACGAACGCUGGCGGCGUGCCUAAUACAUGCAAGUUGAGCGCUGAAGGUUGGUACUUGUACCAACUGGAUGAGCAGCGAACGGGUGAGUAACGCGUGGGGAAUCUGCCUUUGAGCGGGGGACAACAUUUGGAAACGAAUGCUAAUACCGCAUAAAAACUUUAAACACAAGUUUUAAGUUUGAAAGAUGCAAUUGCAUCACUCAAAGAUGAUCCCGCGUUGUAUUAGCUAGUUGGUGAGGUAAAGGCUCACCAAGGCGAUGAUACAUAGCCGAACUGAGAGGGUGAUUGGCCACAUUGGGAAUGAGAAAAGGCCCAAGCUCCUACGGGAGGCAGCAGUAGGGGAUCUUCGGCAAUGGACGAAAGUCUGACCGAGCAACGCCGGGGGAGUGAAGAAGGUUUUCGGGUCGGAAAACUCUGUUGGUAGAGAAGAAAGUUGGUGGGAGUGGAAAGCUCAUCAAGUGACGGUAACUACUCAGAAAGGGACGGCUAACUACGUG